rnacentral:sRNA from 1 species
UGCAAAUAGGUCACUUACAUUUCUCGCA